UGUGUCUGUCUGUGUCUGUGUCUGUGUAACAAAGCCUUCCAGACCGGUGCACACAGUAAAUCCUCUUUUGCAAUCCAGAACUCCUUGUUGAGUACGAGAUUUGGGGGCAUGCCAGAAGGAAUGUG